CUUCUUCUUUUGAUGGUAAGCUCCACAAGCAGUAUUUUAAAUCUGAAAUUAAUCUAAAACAACUAUUCGUAUCUAAAAACCAUUGGAACUUGAAAUACAACAUAAGGAACACAUAUGAAAAUGGUGACAUUGCUUGAAUGAAAAAUUGUCAUGAGCAUGUUACCUGAAAAAUUUUGAUGCAUAAUCAUUGCCAGAGUUUGGCACAUUUUUGAAAAUUUGGUAACUUUUAUUAAGGUGGUUUCAAUAAUAUGCAAAUAUCUUUUAUUCUUAUGAUUGCUUCAUUGUAUACUUUUUCCCUUUCCCUAGAGUGCAGUACAAUACCACAAGUUUUCCAGCCAAAUGCGAAAAUUCCACACCUUUAUCACGAGGAAAUCUGCAAUGGCAUUUAGGAAUGACAAAUAGAAGCUCAACUAUUCGAAGCAGGAGACCGAAGAGAAAAAAGGAAGAGAGAUGAUAUUACAGCUGCAGAAAAGGAAAUAAUUGAAAACGCAGAAGAAUAUAUUAAUGUACUGUGUGAAAUAUGUGACUUGUAUAAGCAAUCAGUUGCAAAUCAGUCUGCUGUCAUAGAAAAUCAAAAUAUAAUUAUUAAUUUAUUAAAAAAAUAAAUCAUGCAUUUCAAAUAUUA
rnacentral:lncRNA from 1 species